GAUAACUGUGGUAAUUCUAGAGCUAAUACAUGCAGCAAGCCUUGACCCUCACGGGCAAGGCGCAGUUAUUAGAUCAAAAACCAAUCGGUUGUACUUUCGGGUAUAGCCGUUACUUUGGUGACUCUGAGUAACCACAGCGAACCGUAUGGCCUCGUGCUCGACGGUCUGUCAGUCAAGCAACUGCCUUAUCAGCUUGUUGUUAGAUUAUAUGCCUAACAAGGCUUCAACGGGUAACGAACGAUCGGGGUCGGAUAUCGGAGAGGGAGCUUGAGAAACGGCUACCACUUCCAAGGAAGGCAGCAGGCGCGCAAAUUACCCACUCUCGGCAUGAGGAGGUAGCAAUAAAAUGUAUCGAUGCGGGGCCUUUAGUGCCUUCGUAAUCGGAAUGAGUACACUUUAAAUCCUAUAACAAGGACCUAUUGGAGGGCAAGUCUGGUGCCAGCAGCCGCGGUAAUUCCAGCUCCAAUAGCGUAUAUUAAUGCUGCUGCGGUUAAAAAGCUCGUAGUCGGAUCUGGGUUACCGGCGGGUACCGCAUGUCGCUUCAUGCAGCAUGUUGUGUACUAUACGUGUCGCUUCGGCGGCACUGCCAGUGUAAUGCUGUCUCAUGUAGGCACGUUAUGCUGGUCGCCGGAACCACGGGCCGGGUUGAGCAGCAUGCUCUUAAUUGAGUGUGUUGUUUACUCGGUGCGUUUACUUUGAAAAAAUUGGAGUGCUCAAAGCAAGCGUACAGUCGCUAUGCGGCUUGAACAGUGGUGCAUGGAAUAAUGGAAUAGGGCCUCGGUUCUAUUUUGUUGGUUUUAAGAUAUCGAGGUAAUGAUUAAGAGGGACAGACGGGGACGUUUGUAUUGCGACGUUAGAGGUGAAAUUCUUGGAUCGUCGCAAGACACACUAAUGCGAA
rnacentral:rRNA from 1 species